rnacentral:tRNA from 1 species
CCUUAGCUGGCUCAGUCUGUAGAGCAGGUGACUUUUGAUCUCAGGGUCAUGAGUUCAAGCCUCAUGCUGGA